rnacentral:rRNA from 1 species
AUUGAACGCUGGCGGCAGGCCUAACACAUGCAAGUCGAGCGGAUGAAGGGAGCUUGCUCCUGGAUUCAGCGGCGGACGGGUGAGUAAUGCCUAGGAAUCUGCCUGGUAGUGGGGGAUAACGUCCGGAAACGGGCGCUAAUACCGCAUACGUCCUGAGGGAGAAAGUGGGGGAUCUUCGGACCUCACGCUAUCAGAUGAGCCUAGGUCGGAUUGGCUAGUUGGUGGGGUAAAGGCCUACCAAGGCGACGAUCCGUAACUGGUCUGAGAGGAUGAUCAGUCACACUGGAACUGAGACAGGGUCCAGACUCCUACGGGAGGCAGCAGUGGGGAAUAUUGGACAAUGGGCGAAAGCCUGAUCCAGCCAUGCCGCGUGUGUGAAGAAGGUCUUCGGAUUGUAAAGCACUUUAAGUUGGGAGGAAGGGCAGUAAGUUAAUACCUUGCUGUUUUGACGUUACCAACAGAAUAAGCACCGGCUAACUUCGUG